CCGCCCCAUCACACCUGUAAGUCAUGAUAAGAAUGGAGAUGGGGUUCACGAGCAGGAAAGCUCAGUUCAGUAGCAGGCUGUUCUGGGAGGUGAGCAGGAUGCUGAGCUUCCCAGCUCCCUGGGAGAGGCUGGCAGAGGGCAGAGCCUAAUCCCUUGCCUAAAAGAAGCACAUGUCACCUUGAGGUGAAGAGGGCUGUAUCCUGUUCCUUCUGCUGGUGAUCCAGUGGACUUUAAACCAGACUGUGGUCCACUGCAGGCCCAUCUGAAGGAAGACAGCUCCUGUUUGCUGUCAUGCUAAGAAGAUAUUAUCACAGCCAUGCACAAUAUAUCACGCCAUAAGCUCCUGCAUGCGAAACACUUACACUGGGCAUCCAGUGGAUACUCCCUACUAUCCUUGAUUGCAAAAAUAAUAAGACAGAAAAAGGGAAACAAAGCACAACGCUGGAAAAUGGAAGAAGAAAAAAUCCCUGCUUUUAAAAUUAAUAUGCCGCUUGUGAAUCUCUGGCACAAAAGCCAGGAAGUAUGAGGUUAAGGAGGACAGAACAUCAGCUCACUCUGCAGUGCCGCUUUCUCCUUCCAAACAGCAGGUGCUGAAUUUUGAAUUUCUUGCCUUUU